AGCUGAGUUGCCCUCCCCCAGAGGGACCCAAAGCUGCUAGAAAUUUCACAAGGAGCGGUGGGUGUAGAAUACUAAAACCUGGCAAGUUUUUAAUUUUUAUAGGUAUUGGCAAAUAAAAGGCAUUUAUCUCUGAAUUCAUUCUCUCUGUCCACUCAUUUGUAAACAGGAAACUCUGACUAGAGAUGGGUAGUAGUUUUGAAAAUGAAGACAACGUUUUUAUCUAGGAAUGAACCAAUCAAAUGCCCUGAAACCGUAAGAACAGCUGCCCGGGCUGAAGGGAAUGGAAAGGGCUCUCCGGCGCCUUUUGCCUCCGUUCUCUGCCCGCCCCUAAAGCGCGCCGCAGCCCCGGGCUGAGCUCGGCGGUACUGCUGCCGCCUUGUGGACAGAGAGCGGUACUGCCGCCCCGCCACCCAGCGCCAGUUCUCCUUCCAGUUGUAAAACCGCAAACAUCGCAGUGUUCCUCUGACACCAGCGGUUCUAGGGAGUAGAGCUGUAGGUGGCCUUGGCCUCCCUUAGGCCCUCAUGUCAACUUACUCUGAAACAUUAGGGUGAGAUUAUUCUACCAAUUGAACAGAGGUACCUUUUCCUUACAGGUGCUUGUGCCGUAGUUUGGAUUCUGCUUCUUAACAUUUCUAGUGUGACAGAGUUUACCAUAGAGACAAUCUGCCAGGAGGCAGCACUUUGGGGGGCAUGGCAGUCCUGGUCAUCUUUCCAUACAAACAUUGCUCCACUCUCCAGAGGAUUAUUGUGAGCAGAUGUGAGCUCUGCUGUCCCUUUGGACUAAGAAAAACAGAGGUUUUCUCCCAAGUUCCUUCUGAAUCUGUCCUGCACCUGUUACAAGUCUUCAGUCUCCUGCAGUUUUGUGGGUCAGUCACAUGUAAAACAGCACAACUGGCUGGCAUGCUCUGCUAAUGAGAGAUGAGAAGAAUCCCUCUGCUCACACCAGACCUGCAGCUGCCAAACCUCACCAAUGCACCUGAGGAGCCCCAGGGAUUGAUGGCACAGAAGGGAGGUGAUGGAGCACAGCACAGCAGGCAGCCUGCCCUCCAUGUAGGUGUGAAGAAGGCAGGGCUGGAAACUGUCAGCAACAUCCCACCAGGUCUGGCUCAUGGUGCCACCCUGAGGGUUUCCCCUGCCUCUGGGCAGUCCCAGCUGCUGCAGCUCACUUGACAGAGACUCACUGUCUAUACUGUGCUUGGCUGCUCUGGAGAGGAUGUAGCCAAGGACAGCAAAGGUUGCCUUCACAGCCCCUGACUGCAGAUGGGAGGGAGGGCGAGCUCUGUCGCCUUGGGAAGGCAUCUGCAGACUCACUGCUGCCCAUCUCUGGAGCCUGGCUCCAUCGGGGGAUCGUGGUAAGGACAGCAAUGCUCACCUAACUUUGCACCUGAGGUCAGCUUCAGGAUCUUGUCAUACUGUGGGAGAGCAGAGCUUCUCAGUAAACACCAGCUCACACACUCACUACCAGUGUUAACACUAACAAUUCUUACCUAAAUAUUAAUAACACUUACUAUGCAUAUUAUUAACACUAGUAGAGGCUGAUAGCAUUCCUAACGCUGAGGUUUGCAUGAAGAACACAAAAUUAUUAAUGUUGUUGAUUAUGCUAUUGUAGUGUUGAAAUACUUGGCAUCCGAUGCGGUAGCCCUGCACUAAUCUCGAUGGCCUCCCCCAGCAGGUCCCGAAGCACCUGGAUGCAGAUCAGCUUAAGCUUCACUGAUGUGAUAAACACUCUUUAAAAUUGUAAGAAGUUUAAUAAGAAUAAAAGGACAAAAUAAUCCAGCACUGGGGUGCUUUUGGCACACAGCCAAAGAGCACAGAGGUAGUUUAAAAUCAGGUUCACUACUUAUGGUUACAUUGCUGGGGGUUACAUGCAUAUUAAUUAGCUAAUACAUUAUUCAAACAUUCCUUUGAGUUUUUGUUGUUCCAGGAACUCUCUUGUUUGGUUUUAACUUCUGACUUGUCUGCAGAACAUUCUGUAAAUUAGGUCUACAUAUUUUAUUUCUUCCUGUAGUUUUAUCCUGGUGCUUCACACUCCCUGAUAGUGCUGAUAGAGUCGAUAAAUCCUUCCUGGAUGCUUAUGCUCUGUUUUUGUCACUGUUAUCACUUAGUAGGGCCAGUCCGCAGAUACAAGAAACAGAAUCACUGCUUUACACCAUUCUAUGUGUUAGUUACAUAGAAGUAUUUUAGUUUCUAUUUUAACAUUUUGCUAAAGCCUAUGAUAUAUUUAUCACACUACUAUUCAUAUGAAAUAUACAGUGCAUACAUAAACUGGCAUAUUAUACGAUACAAAGGAGUUAAAAGUGUAAGUUGUACCAUAUCAAAACACUUGCAAAGCUAAUGCAAAAAGCUAAUCUAUGAAUGCGAAAGCCAA